rnacentral:ncRNA from 2 species
GCGUAAUUGAGCGAGCUUGGUGUUCCGAAAAGCGCAUCUGCGUGGAACUGAAAAGGGAAUUCGGUAAGGGAUCCAUCGAUCCGGAAGCCGGAGCCGCCCCCGCGACUGUAAGCGGUGAGCCGAUGCCAAUGAUGCCACUUGCCCGGAAGGGUGGGGAAGGCGGGCAGGGGCCACGACCCGCGAGCCAGGAGACCUGCCAGGCGAAGAAACGCAAU